GACGAACGCUGGCGGCGUGGAUUAGGCAUGCAAGUCGAACGGUAGAUAUCCUUCGGGGUAUUGAGAGUGGCGAACGGGUGAGUAACACGUAGGUAAUCUACCCUCAAAUCGGGGACAACCCAGGGAAACUUGGGCUAAUACCGGAUGAGUGCAGCACCUAAAUCAUCCAUACGGAAUCUGGUUAAGAUUGGGUUUUGUAUGGUUGGGUGAUUUAGGUGCUGUAUAAAAGAUGGCUUCGGCUGUCGUUUGAGGAUGAGCCUGCGCUCUAUUAGUUAGUUGGUGAGGUAAUGGCUCACCAAGGCGAUGAUAGAUAGGCGGCCUUAACGGGUGGUCGCCCACACUGGGGAUUGAGAUACGGGCCCAGACUCCUACGGGAGGCAGCAGUCGAGAAUAGUCUACAAUGGACGAAAGUCUGAUAGUGCGACGCCGCGUGAACGAUGAAUCCCUUCGGGGUGUAAAGUUCUUUUAUAUGUGAGCAAUGCCUUAUAUGUGAA
rnacentral:rRNA from 1 species